CUAAAGCAUUUCUGACUGCUAUGCUACCAUGAUGUAUCUUGCUUACCUUCUGUAGAUGCAGCCCGACCUGCUGAAUUCCACUUGCAGCUCUUUUUUGCUCCAGUGUCUGCAAUCUCUUGUGUCUCCAUCUAAAGUUCUUACAUGAUAUCUUGAAGAUGACCAAUCAUCAUGAUGAAAUAAAGAUCUAGUCUGUCAUCUAUCCUUGGAUCGUACUCCAUGAGAUG